rnacentral:rRNA from 1 species
GUAAAGGCUCACCAAGGCUAAGACGGGUAGCUGGUCUGAGAGGACGACCAGCCACACUGGAACUGAGACACGGUCCAGACACCUACGGGUGGCAGCAGUCGAGAAUUUUUCACAAUGGGGGAAACCCUGAUGGAGCGACGCCGCGUGGGGGAUGGAGGGCUUCGGCUCGUAAACCCCUGUCAUUCGCGAAUAAUUGCUGUGGCCUAACACGUCACGGUUUGAUAGUAGCGGAAGAGGAAGGGACGGCUAACUCUGUGCCAGCAGCCGCGGUAAUACAGAGGUCCCAAGCGUUGUUCGGAUUUACUGGGCGUAAAGGGUGCGUAGGCGGCAGGGAAAGUUCGGGGUGAAAUCUCCAGGCUCAACUUGGAAACUGCCCUGAAUACUUCCUUGCUCGAGGGCCGAAGAGGAGAUUGGAAUUCUCGGUGUAGCAGUGAAAUGCGUAGAUAUCGAGAGGAACAUCAGUGGCGAAAGCGAAUCUCUGGUCGGCAUCUGACGCUGAGGCACGAAAGCCAGGGGAGCAAACGGGAUAUACCCCGGUAGUCCUGGCCCUAAACGGUGCGCACUUGCUGUGAGCGGAUUUAAAACCCGCUCGUGGCGAAGUUAACACGAUAAGUGCGCCGCCUGAGGAGUACGGUCGCAAGAUUAAAACUCAAAGAAAUUGACGGGGGCCUGCACAAGCGGAGGAGUAUGUGGCUUAAUUCGAUACCACGCGAAGAACCAUACCUGGUCUUGACAUGCAUGUGGUAGAAGCCUGAAAGGGUAACGACCCCGCAAGGGGAGCAUGCACAGGUGCUGCAUGGCUGUCGUCAGCUCGUGUCGUGAGAUGUUGGGUUAAGUCCCGCAACGAGCGCAACCCCUGUGUCCUGUUGCCACCUCGAAAGGGGGGAACUCUGGACAGACUGCCCCGCUUAAACGGGGAGGAAGGUGGGGAUGACGUCAAGUCAGUAUGGCCCUUACGACCAGGGCUGCACACGUACUACAAUGCCCGGUACAAUGGGCCGCAAACCAGCAAUGGGGAGCAAAUCCUAAAAACCGGGCCCAGUUCAGAUUGUCGGCUGCAACUCGCCGGCAUGAAGCUGGAUUCGCUAGUAAUGGCGCAUCAGCUACGGCGCCGUGAAUACGUUCCCAGGCCUUGUACACACCGCCCGUCUCAUCAUGAAAGCCGGUUGUACCCGAAGCCGCUAAGCCAACCGCAAGGAGGCAGGCGUCUAAGGUGUGGCUGGUGAUUGGGAUGAAGUCGUAACAAGGUA